GGUUUAUCUCCAGAACUCGAAUAAAUCAGGAAGAAAAGGUUAACUGGUGAUGGAAAAUCAUCCCAAGAUGAUACUUCUGACUUGUACUAGCAAAAGAAAGGCAACUGGGAGAUUGUGAGCGUUGAAGCCCAGCCCAGGGGUGGAGGAGACAAUUCUGCCUCAGAUAUGAGAGAUGAAAACUUAAGAAAUAAAGAAGAGGCAUCGCAGUCCUACUCCACCACUGCGACACUUCUGCUCUGCAUGGCACGUUUAUACAAGUAGAAAAUGGACUGGAAAACUGGGAAAGGAAGCAUGAAACUUGAAGCCUUCACAUGCUCUUGUCAA